AACUAAGUGCCUGAUGGAAAGGGCUAUCUUGAUAGGGUAGAGUAUGUAAUUUAUUACCUUAGUUA
rnacentral:tRNA from 1 species